AUAUUUAUAUUGUUUAUCAUUUAGAAAAAAAGAAAGGGUUUUGAGAGAGUUUAGAGGAAGUACGGAAAAGUAUAGAGAAAAUUUUUGGAUCGAGAGUUAUAAAGUAAGAAUCAGAGAGCUCAAUAAGUUUACCUAUCAUAAUCAGGAGUAAGAGAUUAGUGAGGUUUUUGGUUGAUGAUUGGUCGUAGGAACUACGUGUUAUCAGGUUCGGCGGCUGACGCGUUUUGGCAACUUCUCCUCCUCAUCAUUUUUGCAUGUAGAUAAAUGUAUAAUCUAUAGAGUAGUGAGAAGGUCCUACUACAGUUUAGAAAGUUUGAAAUAUGUACUUGAUAAAUGUUGGUUUUGAAAUUUUAUAA